rnacentral:rRNA from 1 species
UACCAGCACCCCGAGUGGUCGGGACGAUUAUUGGGCCUAAAGCAUCCGUAGCCGGUUCUGCAAGUCCCCCGUUAAAUCCAGCUGCUCAACAGAUGGGCCGCGGAGGAUACUACAGAGCUAGGAGGCAGGAGAGGCAAGCGGUACUCAGUGGGUAGGGGUAAAAUCCGUUGAUCCAUUGAGGACCACCAGUGGCGAAGGCGGCUUGCCAGAAUGCGCUCGGCGGUGAGGGAUGAAAGCUGGGGAGCAAACCGG